rnacentral:rRNA from 1 species
CGUGUCGUGAGAUUGGUUGGGUUAACGUCCCGCAACGAGCGCAACCCCUAUUGUUAGUUGCCAUCAUUCAGUUUGGGCACUCUAGCGAGACUGCCGGUAAUAAACCGGAGGAAGGUGGGAUGACGUCAAAUCAUCAUGCCCCUUAUGACCUGGGCUACACACGUGCUACAAUGGUUGGUACAACGAGUUGCGAGUCGGUGACGGCGAGCUAAUCUCUUAAAGCCAAUCUCAGUUCGGAUUGUAGGCUGCAACUCGCCUACAUGAAGUCGGAAUCGCUAGUAAUCGCGGAUCAGCACGCCGCGGUGAAUACGUUCCCGGGCCUU